rnacentral:rRNA from 1 species
AACGCUGGCGGCAGGCCUAACACAUGCAAGUCGAACGGUAACAUUUCUAGCUUGCUAGAAGAUGACGAGUGGCGGACGGGUGAGUAAUACUUAGGAAUAUGCCUUUGUGUGGGGGAUAACUAUUGGAAACGAUAGCUAAUACCGCAUAACGUCUUCGGACCAAAGGGGGCUUCGGCUCCCGCGCAAAGAGUAGCCUAAGCGAGAUUAGCUUGUUGGUGAGGUAAAGGCUCACCAAGGCGACGAUCUCUAGCUGUUCUGAGAGGAAGAUCAGCCACACUGGAACUGAGACACGGUCCAGACUCCUACGGGAGG